rnacentral:rRNA from 1 species
AUUGAACGCUAGCGGGAUGCUUUACACAUGCAAGUCGAACGAGAGGCGGACGGGUGAGUAAUAUAUCGGAACGUGCCCAGUAGCGGGGGAUAACUACUCGAAAGCGUGGCUAAUAACGCAUUCUCUAGGAGCAGCCGAUAUCGGAUUAGCUAGUUGGUGGGGUAAAGGCUCACAAAGGCAAAGAUCCGGAGCAGGUUUGAGAGGACGACCGGCAACACUGGGACGGAGACACGGCCCAGAGUCCUACGGGAGGCAGCAGUGGGGAAUUUUGGACAAUGGGGGAAACCCUGAGCCAGCCAUCCCGCGGGUAUGAGAGGGCUUUGGGGUUGUAAAGUACUUUUGGCAGAGAAGCGGUAUCGGCAGAAUAAGCAACGGCUAACUACGUGCCAGCAGCCGCGGUAAUAC